UACGGAGGGUGCGAGCGUUGUCCGGAAUCACUGGGCGUAAAGGGCGCGUAGGCGGCUUCGCAAGUCCGGGGUGAAAGCCCCCAGCUCAACUGGGGAAGUGCCUUGGAUACUGCGGGGCUCGAGCGAGGCAGGGGUCGUGGGAACUUCCGGUGGAGCGGUGAAAUGCGUUGAUAUCGGAAGGAACGCCGGUGGCGAAAGCGCACGACUGGUCCUCUUCUGACGCUGAGGCGCGAAAGCCAGGGGAGCAAACGGG
rnacentral:rRNA from 1 species